rnacentral:rRNA from 1 species
UGGGGAAUAUUGCACAAUGGGGGAAACCCUGAUGCAGCCAUGCCGCGUGUGUGAAGAAGGCCUUCGGGUUGUAAAGCACUUUCAGCAGUGAGGAAGGGGUUAUCGUUAAUAGCGGUAAUCUUUGACGUUAGCUGCAGAAGAAGCACCGGCUAACUCCGUGCCAGCAGCCGCGGUAAUACGGAGGGUGCGAGCGUUAAUCGGAAUUACUGGGCGUAAAGCGCAUGCAGGCGGUCUGUUAAGCAAGAUGUGAAAGCCCGGGGCUCAACCUCGGAACAGCAUUUUGAACUGGCAGACUAGAGUCUUGUAGAGGGGGGUAGAAUUUCAGGUGUAGCGGUGAAAUGCGUAGAGAUCUGAAGGAAUACCGGUGGCGAAGGCGGCCCCCUGGACAAAGACUGACGCUCAGAUGCGAAAGCGUGGGGAGCAAACAGGAUUAGAUACCCCCGUAGUCC